GAUGAAGAACGCAGCGAAAUGCGAUACGUAGUGUGAAUUGCAGAAUUCAGUGAAUCAUCGAAUCUUUGAACGCACAUUGCACCUCUCGGUAUUCCGGGAGGUAUGUCUGUUCGAGCGUCAUUUGUACCCUCAAGCUCUGCUUGGUGUUGGGUGUUUGUUCCGCCUCUGUGUGUGAACUCGCCUCAAAACAAUUGGCAGCCGGCGUACUUGUUUCGGAGCGCAGCACAUUUUGCGAUCCAGAUCAACGUACAGCGGCAUCCAAGAAGCCUUAUUUAACGCUCUUGACCUCGGAUCAGGUAGGGAUACCCGCUGAACUUAAGCAUAUCAAUAAGCGGAGGA
rnacentral:misc_RNA from 1 species